GUGAGGAAUUUUCCGCAAUGGGCGAAAGCCUGACGGAGCAAUGCCGCGUGAAGGAUGAAGGCCUAUGGGUUGUAAACUUCUUUUCUCAGAAAAGAAUUAUGACGGUAUCUGAGGAAUAAGCAUCGGCUAACUCUGUGCCAGCAGCCGCGGUAAGACAGAGGAUGCAAGCGUUAUCCGGAAUGAUUGGGCGUAAGGCGUCUGUAGGUUGUUUAAAAAGUAUGCUGUCAAAGAUUAGGGCUUAACCCUAGAUAGGCAGAAUAAACUUUUAAGCUAGAGUUUGGUAGAGGCAGAGGGAAUUCCCGGUGGAGCGGUGAAAUGCGUAGAUAUCGGGAGGAACACCAAAGGCAAAGGCACUCUGCUGGGCCAAUACUAACACUGAGAGACGAAAGCGAGGGGAGCAAAUGGGAUUAGAAACCCCUGUAGUCC
rnacentral:rRNA from 1 species